rnacentral:tRNA from 1 species
UCCCUGGUGGCUCAGAGGUUAAAGCGUCUGCCUCCAAUGCAGGAGACUGGGGUUCGAUCCCUGGGUUGGGAA